AGCUGUCCCUAGUACGAGAGGACCGGGAUGGACGCACCUCUGGUGUACCGGUUGUUCCGCCAGGAGCAUCGCCGGGUAGCUAUGUGCGGAAGGGAUAACCGCUGAAAGCAUCUAAGCGGGAAGCCCCCCUUAAUACGAGGUUUCGCUCGAGAGCCGUGGAAGACCACCACGUUGAUAGGCUGGGUGUGGAAGCGUGGCAACACGUGAAGCUGACCAGUACUAAUUGCUCGAUUGGCUUGAUUGU
rnacentral:rRNA from 1 species